CAAAAGCGUAUAUUAAAGUUGCUGCAGUUAAAAAGCUCGUAGUUGGAUUUCGGUUAAUAGGGGGUUAGUCUACUUUUUUUAUAAGUACGCACUGUCAACCUAUUUCCUUCUUUUCAGUAACAAAAUUUUUUUUUGUUCUGAAUCUUUUACUUUGAAAAAAUUAGAGUGUUCAAAGCAGGCGUAUUUUGCCUUUGAAUAUAUUAGCAUGGGAUAAUGAAAUAAGACUUUUUGCCUUAUUCUCGUUGGUUCUUGAGGCUUAAGUAAUGAUUAAUAGGGAUAGUUGGGGUCAUUAGUAUUUAAUUGUCAGAGGUGAAAUUCUAAGAUUAAUUAAAGACUAACUACUGCGAAAGCAUUUGACAAGGAUGUUUUCAUUAA
rnacentral:rRNA from 1 species